AGUCAUGACCAAAAUACCAAUGAAUCUUGAAAAUGAACUUGCAAUGGUGGUUGGUGACAAUGUUUCGGGAGUCGCGUUAUGGUAGAGAUGGCGCUGCAAGGACAAUGGAUGUAGGCGAAAUCUUCUUUCGUUGAGAAAUGGGUUGUGGUGCGAUGUCAGUGUGAUGAUGCGGUACGAUAUAUAGAUACGCGCGUAGUGGUGCUGGUUGUAUUGCGGUGGAUGUGUGGUGCAUUGUUUGUGUGAUGGUAGGUUGUGUAUUUGCGUGGUGGUGGUGGUGCCGCAUCUCUAAUUGCGUGUUGGUGGUACAAGUGUGGUUGGUUGGAGGUGGAGGUGGAGGUGGUGGUGGUGAUUAGGUGGCGGCGGCAUUUGGACGGCACUGAUGGUGUUUGAGUGGUAGUGUGGUGGAGUGACAUGUAGGUUGGUUGAUGAAAAGUGUUUGUGAUCAAUUAUUUGUAUAAAUAUGACCAAUAAAAUAGGUAAUUUUCGAUCGAUAAAUAAAUUAUGACUUAUAAAAA
rnacentral:lncRNA from 1 species